UGUUUUUAUUAGUUUGACAAGAAUAAAUAUAAGAAAUAACAAUUAAUCUGAUAAUGUUUGCUGUUUAAGAUUAUACUAUUUUCAGAAUUUUUUAAUAAUAAAUGUGAAUUGAUAAUCUGAUGCAUAAGAACACGUUUUAACAAGUAUAAACGGGAGAAAACUCACUAGGACCAGUGUAUGUAAUGUGCCAAUCCUGAAAUACCAUUUUGACUGUAUCCGUUAUAAAUUUCUAGUGUAGAAUGGUAAAUAAACAGACA
rnacentral:lncRNA from 1 species